rnacentral:lncRNA from 1 species
AAUCUUGUAAUCUGGUAAAAUUUAUGAAAUGGGCUUCCGUUAGAAUGCCUUCCCAUGAAUUACCAAGCAGACGUAGGGAAACUAGCUCAUAGAGUUGUCCAAUACUUUCUGGAAUUGAGCCGUUCAUAUUAUUAUAAGUCAGGUCUAGUGUUCUCAAGGAUGACAAGUUUCCGAUAGAAUCUGGAAUUGAGCCCCACAAAUUGUUUCCUCCAAGGUUGAGAUUCUGUAAACUUCGAAACAUUCCUAAAAAGGUCGGCAAUUGGCUUUCAAGCUCGCAAUAAGACAAAUCUAGUGACUCUAAUGUAUUACUUGGACAAUUUGAGAGACUCAUCCAAAACUCUUCAAUCGCCCCAUCAAAGUUGUUCCCUGAAAGACUUAAGACCUUUAGUUUGCAGAAAUUUCCACUCACUUUAGGAAUUUGACCUUUUAAGCCUGUUCCAGAUAAAUCAAGGUUUUCCAAAGAUUUGAAGUUUGAAAAUUCACUUGGAAAAUGAUCCCUGAAAUCAUUCCCGGAUAGAUCAAGUGUUUUGAGGUUGGUAAGAUUAAGAAACCAACUGGGAAAUGAAAAACUUUUAAUGCCAUUAUCCGACAUAUCAAGGACCAAAAGUGAUGUCAAGUUAAUCCUCUGCAGUGAGAGUGGAAGGAAGUUAAUGCUCUGUAGUGAGAGUGGAAUGCUUUCAAUUUGGCACGAAGAUAAAUGCAACUCUAACAAUGAAGGGAGCAUGAUAAUAUCAUACGCCCAACUGACUCCUGUGCUCUUAAGGUUAACGCCAUUGAGAUUAAUGUAUUUCAGGGAAGAGAGGUGAGAAAGCCAAUUCAAAUUUUUGGAAGAUAAGUCAUAAUUCCACCCGAGAUCAAGAAAAUUUAGGCUUGACAGGUUACCAAGAGAAGAGGGAAUCUCUCCUCCAAAUGACGCAUAUGAGAGAUUGAGAUAUUGCAAACUUUUAAGCUCCCCAAUGAACUUUGGAAUUUGAUUGCUAUCAAACGAAUUCUGGCUCAAGUCCAAGUAAUUUAAAUGUUUCAAGCUCAACAGAGAAGCAUUUAUCUUACCUUGCAAAUAAGCAUUUUCCCACUCUGCAUCAUUCCGGAGGUCCAUCUUCACGACAUGACUAGUGUUGUUGUUGCAUGAAAUACCUUCCCAUUGACAGCAAUCAUGACCCACCCAAGACGAAAGCCUACCAGAAUCAUCAACAAGAUGUUGUUUAAAGACAAGAAGCGCAUGUCUUUCUUCAUCAAUGCAUGAAUUUGUCUUUACACCGCUUGAAAUUUCAUCACCAGCCAAACAGAAACGGAGUUUAGUAGGACUCUGCAUGCAAGAAGAGACCAAAAGCAAAAGAAGCAAAUAGUGAGCAAUAAUGCGGUGACAAUGGCUAUCCAUUAUGACACACAGUUUUUCUUUGCUUUGUUGGUGAGAUGUUUAGCUACUAAAAUUAGUGCGAUACCGGAAUUUAUAGGAAGAGAUUAUGGAUGUAGGCUGGAGAGCUGAAAACGAAAGCCGUCUGAUAGAGAAAAGAAAAAAGGCUAACUGAAAUGAGUGGCGGUUGUGAUGGGUUGUGGAAAUCCAUAUGCUGCGAAGACUUUGAAUUAAGGGUCUUCAUGUUCCAUCACAAGUCACAACUUAUCAACUUACUUAUGGAAGCCGAUUUGGAUAUGUUGUUAUAUUUUACACCACACAUGCUGGUAGACUGGUAGUCACUACUUGGAUAUUUACAAGUUUGCAAGCCGUGUAGGAGCAGAGAUUAUGAAUGCAUGGAUGAGAUGGCUAGCUACCUGUGGAAGUCUUUGCACACCGAUUAGUCUUUGGUGGAAAAUCCAUAUGUCUAGCCGUGGAAAUUCAAAAAUCAUAAUUGAUGAAAGGGAUUGGUAGAGAGAAGAGAGUGGCAAUUGGCAAUGCAAGUGAGAAUGAUAGAAUAUUUGCGGUAUUUUUCUGUCUUUUUUUUUUUAAAUACUAGUGAUAUUCUAAACUAAUUCAUCUAUUAAUUUGUUCACUGAUUCACAUGCAUUUAAGAAAUUGCAAGAGGGAUAGACAGAGACUGAAGCCCUAAUCCAUGACUCUGUUAACACUUUUUAGGGUUCUUACCGUUUAGCCCAACUAGAGGAAUGGAUGUGAUUUGUUCCAUUUUCCUCACUAUUUGCGUAUAUACCAAGAAUCGUUCCUUAAAUCCUAAGAAUGGCAUAAUAUGUUCGCUCAAUCAAAGGGAAGCAGCACUUAAACCUUGGUUCUUUCACUUGGUUUUGAGCUUGGUUGUGAGGACGGUGGUGCGCCGGAGAGAUACAAAGAGAGGCAUGGUCGCCUACGUCACUUUAAUUCCCAAACAAAAACACUUUCUUUAUAUUUUGCUUAUGUCCUUCUAUGUAAUUUUGCAAUAGAAUAAACUUGUCACCAAAACUUUCGUAAAAAAGUGGGUGAAAAAAUUAGACAAUAUAGUGGACAUAAUAACACUCCUUAUUUUUUGGUUUCUGUUUUGGUGUUUGGUGAAGCUGUAUGUUUUGUAGAGCAAUGGCUAACUUAGCGUGUUCAAUCUGCUUGAACUAUGAUAAAGUGGUGACAAAAGUUGAAAAAGUGAUUGUCUUUUCCCCCUCCUCAGAUGCUUCAACGUUUGCUUGUAUUUCGGGGAAGAGGUCAAUGCUUGACUAAAUCUAACCGUUGGGUUAUUUGCAAGAAGCUUCUUUUUGGGGUUUUAUACUACAUCUAUGUACAGAAUGCACCAAUGUUUGAAUAGCUAAAAAUGUUUAAACCCAGUUAUCCGAUACAUCGAUACAAUAUAAAAUUUUCGGCACACCGAUUAUGAAUGCAUGAAUGAGGUGACUAGCUACCUGUGGAAGUCUUUGCACACCGAUUAGUCUUUCAUGGAAAAUCCAUGUCUAGCCGUGGAAAGUCAUAAAUCAUAAUUGAUGAAAGGGAUUGGUAGAGAGAAGAAAGUGGCAAUUGGCAAUGCAAGUGAGGAUGAUAUAAUAUUUGCGGUUUUUUUUUCUUUUCUUUUUUUUAAAUACUAGUGAUAUUCUAAACUAAUUCAUCUAUUAAUUUGUUCAUUAAUUCACAUGCAUUUAUGAAAUUGCGAAAGGGAUAGAUAGAGACUGAAGCCCUAAUCCCUAAUUAUAUUCGCACUUUUUAGGGUUCUUACCAUUUAGCCAGACUAGAGGAAGAGACUUGAUUUGUUUCAUUUUCUCACUAUUUGCGUCUAUACCAAAAAUCAUUCCUUAAAUUCCUAAGAAUGGCACAAUAUGUUUGCUCAAUCAAAGGGAAGCAGCACUUAAACCUUGGGUCUUUCGCUUGGCUUUGAGUUAGGUUGUGACGGUGGUGCGCCAAAGAGAUACAGAGAGGCAAGAUUGUCUACGUCACUUCAGUUCCCAAACAAAAACACUUUCUUUAUAUUUUGCUUAUGUCCUUCUAUGGAAUUUUGCAAUAAAAUAAAUUUGUCACUAAAACUUUCAUUAAAAAUGGGUGAAAAAGUUAAAACAAUAUGGUGGACAUAAUAGCACUCAUUAAUUUUUGGUUUUGUUUAUGGGAGUUUUAACAAAACACUCCCGGUUAGUGAUGAUCAUGGUAUAUCCGUGUACUAGUCUGACUAAAAUUAGUUUUACUCGAGAAUUGUGAUUCCUUCUUACACAUACUAUUCCUAGGAUUACUAGGAUCAUCUUUAUGAAAUAUUAUCCUAAUUAACACCACUUUGGUUUCUUCCUGAUUUAACAUAUGCCAUGUAAACCCUAGUUUUGGACCCUGUUGGAGAAUAAUAAAAGUGGGAAGUGUGAGAAUAUAUUUAGGUUUCCUUGCUCUUAUGGAUUUAGGUUUUGCAUCUGUCAAUUAGGAUUUGCUUUAUUUCCUGUUUUGAAUUUACAAUUUAGUCUUGUUUCUUGUUUUCCUUUAAAUUCCAAAUUCCCUAUGUUGAAAAACCGAUUUAUUGGAAAACGAAAUGAGUGGCGGUUGUUCACAACCACUUUUACAAGUUUGCAAGUCAUUUGUCGACACAGCUGGUACCUGUUUGUGACGGGUUGUAGAAAUCCAUAUACAGCGGAGACUUUGAAUUAAGGAUUUUCAUGUUCCAUCACAAUUCACAACUUAUCAUCUUAUUUACUGUUCUUUGUUCUUAUCUUGUGGUAAAUUACGUAAAUGGAUUUAGAUAUGUUCUUGUAUUUUGCAAGUCCAUCGCCUACACCACACUAGUAGACUGGUAGUCACUACUUGGAUAUGACUUUUGUGUCAUUAUUUACAAAUUUUCUAAACAGUGAAAUGAUUAUUAACAGUCUAAAAUAAUCAUUGUUACACUCAUUGUUUUCAUAUUUGUUUUUCACUAAUAAGGAAUACACGAGAUUUCCUGUGGACUUUUCCAAAUUUUAAUGAAGCCUUGUAGGAGUAGAUAUAGUGAAUGCAUGAAUGAGAUGGCCAGCCGUGGAAAUUCAUAUAUCAUACUUAAUGAAGGGGAUUGGAAGAGACAAAAGAGCGGCGAUUGGCAAUCCAAGUGAGGUUGACUUACUACUUGCGGUAUCAUAUUUUUUUUUUUUAAUACUAGCAAUAUUCUAAACUAAUUCAUCUAUAAAUUUGUUCAUUGAUUCACAUCCAUUUAGGAAACUGCAAGCGAGAUAGAUAGAGACAUAACCCUUAAUCCCUAACUCUAUUUGCAUCUUUUAAGUUUCUUAUCAUUUGACCCGACUGGAGGAAGGGACAUGAUUUGUUCCAUUUUUUCCACUAUUUGCAUCUAUACCAAGAAUCAUUCCUUAAAUUCUAAAAAUGGCAUAAUGUGUUUACUCAAUCAAAGGGAAGCCACACUUAAACCAUGGGUCUUUCGCUUGGUUUUCAGGUCAGUUGUGAGUUCAGUGGUGCACCUGAGACAUACAAAGAGAGGCGGAGUCGCCUACGUCACUUCAGUUCCCAAACAAAAACACUUUCUUUAUAAUUUGCUUAUGUCCUUCUAUAUAAUCUUGCAAUAGAAUAAACUUGUCACUAAAGCUUUCAUUAAAUAGUGGGUGAAAAAUUAGACAACAUAGUGAACAUAAUAGCAUUUGUUACUUUUUGGAUUCUUUUUUGGUGUUGCAAUGGCUAACUUAGCGUGCUCAAUCUGCUUGAAAAAGUGAUGUCAUUUCCCCACCUCAGAUGCUUCAACCCAUGCUUGUACUUCGGGGAAGAGGUCAAUGCUUGACUAAACCCAACUGUUGGGUUAUUUGCAAGAAGCUUCCUUUCAGGGUUUAUACAUCAUCCCUAUACAGGAUGCACCAAUGUUUGAACGGCUGAAUAUGUUUAAACCCGGUUACUCGAUGUAAUCCGAUACAUUGAUAUGGUAUAAAUUUUUUAGCAAUUGCAUUGGGUUUUAAAGAUUGCAAGAGAUUCAAUGAAAUGGUUGUCUUGUAACCCUAGCUUUUCCACUCAAAGUGCAUUUUUAUGAGCAUUACCACCACAUGAAUAGUUGUUGAUGAAUGUGAUCAAAUUUGUCUACUACUUAAAUCUCAAAACCUAAACUAAACCAAUCAUAAUUUAUGUAGUGGUAAUGCUCACGACCACUAAGGAUAGCAAGCAAAAUGCACUCUUCCAUGCAACUAGUAACAUAGUAGAAAGCAAACCAAAGGCUCUUCAUCAAGAAAAAUUAUUGAAACAUACUAGAACACAUCAACAUGUUAUAUUAUGAGUGGACGAUCCAAUUUAUACUUUAGAAUAUAGCAUUAAUAAUCAAUCCACACACUAUAAUAUGAGAGAAUCAAUAGAUCAUGUUCCUGUAUUUCAAUGCACCGCAAUAUCCUUUCUUCUUCCUUUGAAAGACCAUAACAAGUGAUGCCCCAACAGAAUACGUGUUUGUCUUCAGUCAGGGGCGAAGUUAGGAAUUGUCGGGGAAAUGAGCGAAAUUUAAAAGGGUAAAAGGUCCAAAAAAAUUGUAGACAACCAAAUCCUAAAUAUCAAGCUAAUCACUAUAACGAUGUGUUUACAAAUCUGUAUUCGAGUAAUACUGCAAUUAGUACAUCUCAAACAUAAACACAAGCACAAACACAAAUAAUGACAACCCCCAACCAAAAGAACAAUAAUGUGAAAAACAUCAAAAGCAGAGAGACAACAUAAGACUAAAUUCAUUACACUGAAAAUGGUACAUGGAGACUGAAAGAAUAGAGGGAAUGCAUGUAAAAUCCGAAAGUGAAUUCUUAUGAAAUGCUAAAAUGCAAACCCACCACCUCCAUCAGAAGGUUCCCCCUCCCAAAUCUUCCCCAACACAUCCAGCAAAAGCCUCACCUCACCUCCACCUAAAUCCACAUAGUCUGUUCGCUCCUUAAAUUUGCCACGGGCCUUGCGGGCAUGCCGGGAAUUUAUUCAAACAUAAAAUUGGUGGAUGCGAGUGUGCCACUACUAGAUGCCGCUAGUAAACUAGAUAAAAGAUGGCUUUUGUGAGGGCUGAUCCUGAAAAUGAUUGAGGUUGGGGCUGAUUACAGCUUCGUAUGCAAAUCUGGCUUGAGCAGAGUUUGUGUAUUUGUUUUUUUGAUUGGUUGAGUGUCCCUAAUCUUUGUACUCCUUCUUCUUUAUAUAGAGAACUGAGAGAGCUCUAGCUGAGAACCUUGAAUCUGUCUGAAUGCACUUCACUGCCAGCUAGCAUGUGAAAUAAUAUUAAAAUAGGCAAGUUUGCAUCUCCACCACAUGUUUAUUUCACACUUGCAAUAAAAUAAUUAAAAGAAGCAAACAAAGCUUCUUUCAUCACAUAUCAUUGCCCGAAAGCUUGCAUGGUGUCUUCCUAUACACUUGCAUGAAAAAACAUGCAUUUGUCUUGAUUAAACAAAUCUCUUGGAUAAAUCUCCACCACCCAAAUAAAAGGGAAAAGUAAUAUUAUAAUAUCAAAAUCAUCCUACUUGCGGCCAAAUAUCUUUCUAAGUUAGCUUUCUUGCACAUUUAUCCUUCAAAUGCCAUAUUUUAGCCAAAUAACCCAAAUAAGUGAAAUUGUACACACUUUAGGUGCAAACAGAGUCCCCACCUCCUCCAGCUGAUGUCAUGCGCCCUUCGUCCGAUUCUCCACUAGCACCACAAGGAGAAGCACCAGAAAAAUCUCCUUCAUCCCCCACCGUCACACCUCCUCCAUCUGGUUCCAAAUCUGCUCCUCCACCAGCUAAUAACUCACCCCCUGCACCCACGAUGCAAUCACCACCUCCUUCGGUCCCUUCACCCCCUGGUACUUCGCUCCUUCAACUUUCCCAUUAAUUGAGUAAUUAAUACAAUAAGAAAGGUCUGGGUGUGGUUGUGUUCGAGUGGGAGGAGAAGAAGAUUGACGCAUCUUUUUUUUUUCUUUCUUUUCUUUCCUUUUUUUUAAGUUUUUAAUUAUACAAAAGAUAACAUUGUUUUAAUUAUUUAAAUAGUUUUAAUCCACGUGGUAAUAUUUAAUUAGACUUAUGGGACCCAAUUAUGUACCAUGUCAUCACAUAACGAAAUUUUUGACAGAAAUGUAAUGGAAGAACUAGAUUGAUUUGCGACAUCUAUUUUCAGGGAUUAUAUUGAUUGAUUUUCAAUUUCAGAAACCAUCUUGAUGAAAUGAAUCGAUUUUAGAAAUCAUUUGUGAUAAAAACCCUUUUGUUAAUUGAUGACGUGACAACGUCGUAGACUAAAGUCGUGCCACUUUAUUAAUUAACAAAGCAUUUGACGAAACAAAUCAACGAAAGUACAAAAUUGCCAAAAAAAAAUUAAACUUGUAUGAAAAAUGAUCAAAUUUUAAAAAAUUUUAGAAUAAUAAAAGGAGAAUUACUCAUUUUAUUUAUUUAUUUACCGUGAAGGCGAGCUUCGAAUCAUUUAUUUAACCUAUAUAUGAGAAAAUUCACAUUUAGAUAUCUUAGAAUGGUAGGUGCGAGCAACAACUACACUCUUGGUGAAUUAGUGCACACUUUUGGCGAAUUUUUACACAUAAUUUAAACUUGUAAACUUUGUCGUGUUUAUUCUAAGAUAAAAUUUUGUGGCUAAUAAAUAGACUAACUCGAGUUUAUCAUGUUUUCUAGGUUAUCUCGAUCAAAUUCUUGCCUCUUGUCUACAUUUUUUGGUGUUCUUUUUGUCUACCAUAGACACUAUUAAAAACUUUAAGCCUUUAUUACCAAAAACUUAUGAAAUGUAAAUAUAAUUUUUAUAUCUCAAAUAUACCUCUUUCAUUGUUAUUACGCUUAUGUAUAUUUUCGUAAUGCAAUUCUUUCAUUUUUGAACAAACAAGUAGAAGAAUGAAGUCUCUGGUCUAGUCAUAAUAACCUAGUUUAAAUUUAUCAUUGAUAAUAAUCGAACCUAAGAUCUUUCAUUUAUAAAUAAAGAGAAAUAUUAUUCACCGUAGUAUUAAGUGGCAACGUAAUUCUUAACAAAUUUAAGUUUUUUAACCUAAUUUUACUCUCCUCUAUUGAACCAAAAAAAUAUAAAAAAUAAUAAUAAUAAAUAAAAUAAAAUUACACUCGUUUCUUCUUCAUUUUGGCGGUGCCGGGAAAAUUGGCGCUUCCAAACGAGUGCAGUACAACGGAAAUGGAAAUUGAUCACUGGAAAUCAAGGGUAGCAGCAACCUACUUUAUUCUCUAAUUCACUGGGGAAAAAAUACAUAAAUCCAAAGAAAUGAAAAACCCAAAUGAAAAAAAUUAAUUAGAAGCUUUCAACUGAGAGAUUACCUGAAGAGCGGAAAGUUUCAGCAAGCGAAAAUAGAGAUGGAGCCCCCAUCCCUCACUUGAAUCGAAUUCUCCCACCUCUCUCUCUGCCAGGAACAGGAAUCCCAGAAAACCCUCGACGAUAUCGAACCACCAAUUCUUCCUCCUUGUCUCCCUCCCAUUUUUGUAUGGUUUUGCAGCAUCGAGAAGGCGGUGGAGGUGGACUACCACUGGCCGAGUUCGACGACAUUCAAGUGUAAAAGAGAAGAAUAUGUACGUGUGCUUACAAAGUCGUUAUACAUAUAUAUUUUGUAUUAUGCUUUUGAUAAGUACAAACUAGAUGGAAUUUUUGUAUUAAAUGGAUGGUAGUUACAUAAUUGUUUGUUUGUGGAAACAUUUACUGAAGAUAUAAUUCUUUUACCCGAAGGGGUUUGGUCUGGUGGAUAAAAGCUGGCUAGGCCACAAGUUGGGCGGUUCCUUUGAGUAGGUUCCUCUUAGGGAGGUCAGGCCCGUCAGGGGUUCGAUCACCCGCUUGUAAAAAAUCCUCUUAGGGAGAGCUUUCCGUAAAAACAGCGAUUCGGCUCGGAGUGGAAGCCAUGGAUUGCCCAUACAAAUGGACGAAAAAUUGAGCGUUUGAAGUUGAUUUUUAGAAGGAAUUCUUCCAGACAAGUUGUUGUAAGACAAGUCCAAGUGGGACAAAGAGGUUAAAGAUGACAAGUUUUGAGGAAUCUGUCUGAAAGGUGGUUGUGUGAAAGACCAAGAGUUUCAAGCCAACGCAAGUUUCCUACCUUAGAGGGGAUCUUUCCACUCAAUUGAUUCAUGGACAAAUUCAAAGUGUCCAUUAGAAUAAGGCUGCUUAUUUCUUCAGGGAUUUCCAUGAUUGCACUAUUAUUAUAUCUCUUUUUUUUUUUAUUGAACCAACAAAUUUCCAUAUUGAUAUUUCUAUACCUAAUUUAUAUAAAUAUAUUAUUACUGAUUUAUUUUAAUUUAUAUUAAGUGAUUCAACCUUUAAUUGAAUUGAAGCCUUUGUGAUAAAAUUUAUAGUUGUUUAGUAUGUGGUUAACUUGGUGAUAGUAUCGAUGUUGUACUUAUUAACAAUGGGUUGCUGGAUCUUUUUUUUUUUUUAAAUUUUAAUAUGGUAUUAGAACAGGACCUUGACACUAUUUUAUGACAAUUGAUCCAAUUAUGAAUGAAGACGGUGACCCCAACUUAAUCGCACAAAACAACGUGUUAGAUUUUAUAUAAAAGACCUAAAUGCAACUAGUAAUGGAACAAUUUUUUUUCCUUCUAAUAUGGAAUAUGUUUUAACUCGCCUCCUUACGUGUGACUCAAUUUUAAUAGGCUAUAAGUGAAGACAACUCCAUAUCGAUAACCCACUAACUUUUGUUUCGGCCAAUUUUGAUUUGGAUGUCCCAACUCGAGACUUCAUUACUUUCCAUUUGUGGUCUAAAUCAAAUUUAAUUGGGCCUAGAGGACUAGUAGCUAUGGUGCCAUGUAGAACUUUUUGAGAUGGUCCAUCUACCCACUAGUAAUUAAUCAACAUCAUAUUAUCCGCAACUUAAUUACUUAUUCAAACCCAUAGGUGUGGGUUUGAAUACAAAUUUAAACAAAAGACUUAGACGCAAUUAGUAGUUAAAAUAUUGUAUAAAAGGAGUUUAAUUUUAUUAAGUUUAAGAUGUCAUGUUUCAACAUGCCACCUCACGUAUGACCCAUUUUCAAUGAGUCACAUGUGAAGGUAACUCCACAUUGGGGACAAUUUUUAUUUAGAUUUUGAGGAUUUUAGUUGGGUGUCCCAACUCGGGGCUUCAGGGUUUGCAAUUCGUGGUCCCAAUUUCAGUUCAAUCAUUCCCAUAGGAUUAGUAUGCUCUAGUACUAUGUAAAAUAUAGAGACAGCUCAUUGGUCCACUACAAAUCAAUACCAAUAUUGUUCCCAACUCAAUUACAUGUGUAAACUAAUAAGUUUAGAGUUUUUUUUACAAAAGAUCUAGAUUCAAUCAGUAGUCGAACUGCAGGUGGCCCUUGCAUAACGGUAUGUGUGUGUUCCUUCCAUACUGCAUAUGAUGACAUUCAUCUUAGUUUCCGACCAAAAUUUAUGACUAAAUGAUUAAUUCUAUUCAACUUUUGGAUGCAUUCCAUACAAUAAAUCCAUCCUAACCCAAAUCUCUUGUGCUAAUUAUGCUCUUUUUAUUCUAUCAUAAAUAAUAUUGCUUAAUAAGAAACAUCGUGGAGGCUUCCUUCCCACACUGGACAAGAAUAUUAUGGACGUAUUUGUUAGGAUAUAUUCAGUGCAUCAUCUUAAAAUUACUUAACACGUAUCUUCCAGAUCCUUAAAUUCCUUGUGUUGUAAAACGUAAUGAGUUGGUUCAAAACUCACACACAUACCCUCUUCACUCUUGGACAACAAAUUAAUAUAUAUUUUCCUAUGAGAAAUGCUAAUAGGACGUUCUCAAAAGUGUGACUCUUCAUAGACUUUCUGUCAUCUCUUGUUCUUAAUACAUAAUUGUAUAAUGUUGACACAAGAAUUAACGUUAAAUUGUAAAAUGACAAAGAAUUUAUAAAGAAUCACUUUAAAAAGGUUAACAUUUCUCUUACUAUAUAUAUAUACUAGAAAUUUGAACCCGCGAGUUGAUGCGGGAUUAAAAAUUGUAUGAAAGAUUAUGCAAUUUCAUUUUUUCAUAAGCAAUAUUUGAGUCAAGAACUAAGAAUUACAAACGCCAAAGCAAGCAGAAUGGAAGCAAGUUGCUGACCCUAGUUUUUUUGUGAACACUAAUAAAAUUCAAUCAACAUCUACCAAACAAAUGCAUACGUAGAAACUAAAAUACUAAACCUUCUCAUUUUCUGUUCGAAAAGCCCUGCAGGCGUCAGAAUUUCGCUCCUGAUGGACUCCAAUUCUCUUGUUUUCAGUUCAAGAGUCGUUCCUGCAACAACAUCAAACAAUGUGAUUCUGGAUAUAAUGGUAUAUUUGAACAGUAAUGUAGUUUUGAAUUAAAUUGUAUGCAGAGUUUCUCAACAAAUUUAUAGUUAAUUUAAAAAAAAUAGCAAUCUGCAAGUAAUUUAGAAACUCGUUCCAACCCAAAAAGUAGUUCAAAUCUUUGAAAUUGCAAUUUCACAAGUCACUAAACCCAACUUACAGAUUAUGUCCUUUUCAUUUAUUUCCUCCAAUUCAAACAUAUCAUAAAGAUCAAUUUCAGUUCUUAAUUAGCAUCAACAACAUGAUAUCAAGAUUCCCGGUAAAUAGCACAAACUACCCAAAGGCAUUACUCUAAUGAUCAAACAAUAUUGAGAUCCACAAUCAAGUAGCCAAAGGAAAACAAUUAUCAGAUGUUCAGAUAAGAAAAACUAUGAAAUACUGAGAUUAAAAGGUUACCCACACUUAAUCGAGUGAAUGUUGAGCUAAGCUGAUAGUAAAUUCAAACUGAGCAACCACUCAAAUUUCGACAGUAAGCAUAAUAUACAGAUUCAAAAUCACCCGACUCCUGCAAAAAGAACAUAUAAUACUUAUUACACAUCGAAAGUUGAAAAACAAUACAAUUUCUUUUGAGAUUUUUCAGUGAAAGUACCUCAUCAGACGCCUUUUGGAAAUAAACUCUUGCCUCAUUCUGGUCCAGGGUACAUAAUCCACAAGCAGUUUGAGCAUUUCCAAAACACCACAGAGCAUCAUCUUUCCUAGGAUUAAUCAACAAUGCUUACUCCAGCUUCGAAAUAGCAUCUGGGCAAACAAACACAAACCUGCAUUUAUAAAUUCAAACUCUCAAAUAACUAAAUGAAAAAAGUUCCAAAUUCAAAAUUUUCAAGGCUACCAGAUAACAUUUGGAGAAUUCCAAAGUCUAUAAAUAGAUAUUAAACAUGAAAGACCACCUCCAAGAACUAAUUAGGCUUGGAAAAAAAAUGGAUCCAAGUAGAUAACAGAUUAAAAUCGAGCGCGAAAUCCGUCAACAAAAUUGGAGUCUCAUUGGAAAAUGGAUGGAAGCUGAUUCCACUAUUUCUCUUCACUGUCAUAAACAAUGAUACGAAUUACCUACUGAUGGACAGAACUUGAAAAUAACAGCCCUCAUUUUACUAUCUGUCACAUAUAUUUUUUAGAAAAUGGGCAUUGCUUAUCAAAUUUUCAGUCUGGAGAACUUGUCAGGUUUAAUGAAUCAACUUCGUUAUUAAAGAACUUGCACUAUAAGAUUCGUAGAGAAAUGCUUUCUUACAACGAUAGCUAAGAUGAUUUGGGAGUCAUCUACUAUUCUUAUCGACAUUUUAGCUAUCAUUCCCCUUCCACAUGCAAGAACAGCUCUUCUUAGAGUAAAUUUUACAGUUGCAAUUUCUUUAUUUUCUUAGAUGAUAAUAGGGUUCUAUUAAUAUUGUCCAUUUGUGUUUGAAUUUCAAAGUUGAUAUACAAAGACAGCACUAAAACACAAUAAUUUAGAACAUAAAAGAAAAUGUAACUAAAAAAAGUAACCGAUGAAAAAAUGGAGAAAUAUGCACGAACCUUGGAAGUAAGAAAGCAGAUGUUGCUUUCUAGUUGUUGACAGAAUUAUACGGAGGACCGUUUGAAUUUGGGAUUCGCUGCAGAGGGAACAAAUUAGAAGGUUAUAAAUUAUAGGUAUAAUUUAAUUUUUACAUUUGAUGCGUCGUCGGAUUAAAGGAAUACAAUAGGAUUAUGUUUUAGGUGCAAUUGUUGGAUUAAAUGAAUUAAGCACUGGUCAUUUCUAAUUGACUAUGAUAAAGAAAUCUUGUGAACCAUUUGAGUUUUGAGCAAAUAUGAUAAAGAGAUCAUGUUUAAUAUAUAUUAGUAAUUAAGAAAAUUUAGAGCAAUGAAUGAGUAUACAUUCACUGUUUUGCAGCAAGGCAAUAUGGUUUGAGAUGCUUGGGGAAUCUGAUAUAUUUUUUGUUGGAGCCUUUGUAGUAAAAGUUGUGUCUCAUAUUUCCUUUGCUGCAACAUCACUUGUAUAAAUAUAAAAUAGAGAAAAAUGAAAAGUGUCAGUAAACACCGAGUAGUGUGGUACUUCGAAGUGUUAUUAAACAUUGAGUAGUGUGGAACUUCGAACCAUGGAAAACAUAUGAAUUUGAUGCAAAUGUUUGUGAGAUGAAUGAACUUGAGAUGAAGAUAGACAUAUUAGAUUGUGGGACCUUUUACGGAAUUGCUUGGGGUUGCUUUGGUUUUCAGAGAAAUCAUCGGGGCAUUGUCGGAAACCGAGUCAGAAGCUGAUAACCUUUUCUAUGGAGCCUUUGCAGUGGGAGUUGUGGCAUCACACAGAUAGAUGUAAAACGGAGGACAAAUACAGGCAUUAGUGAGCAUUGACUAAUGUGGAGAUCAAAAUUAAACGCAUUAGAUACAUGCAUAAUACAUUGUUAGAGGAGAAUGUUUCAAUGAUUCAACUUGAGGAAAAAUAAUGCAAUUUCAGCUACAAUGAUUUCACUUACAAAUUUUCGAAAUCGUUAGGCACUCCCUUCAGAGGACCAGACGAUGGAUAUUGAUGUUUCUAAUCACGGAAAAAAGAAAGAACAUAAACAAACAUCGCAAACCCGUCAACCAAUAUGAUAGGUCAAUUACACAAUACAGAAGAAACUGAAUAGAGAUUCAAUUGUUCAAAGUCCAAAUUCUAGAAAAUAAAUCCUAAUUAACAACCAACUAAUAAUGGGUAAUCAUUGAAAUUAAAAGAACAGCAUAAGGAAGGGAGAGAGAGUAAUGCAAUAUUAAAUAAUUGUAUUAGAUAUAACUCUACUGUCCAAACAUUUAUCACUACAAUUUACAACAAAUCAACCCCCAAUAUAGCUCACCAGAAAAAAAAAGAGCGUCAGCAGCACCUGAUGAAUCCACCGGAAAGCAUGGUGGAAGAGAGAGAAGAAUUGAUGAUUUCACCAUCUGGCAACAACCCAUUUCAUAAAAAAAAAUUACUUUCACAAACCCGCUUUGUAGCAAAAAUAAAGAAAAAACAAACACUUACUAUGUCGUAUGACUUUAAUUCCAAUUUCCCCUUCAAGCUCCCUAGCUUUUGAACCAUCAUGCUCAUAUUCAUAAAGCCCUAACCAUGAAACCAAAAUUACUACCUUGACAAAUAAACAUAACCAACAACAAAAACAACUAAAAGUUUCAAAUGGGCACUGCCAAAAAUUACCAGCCGAGCUACCGAAGACAGCGAUAUCAGGUCCGAAAACUAAUUUCCACUAUUCCAACAAAGAUCCAACAGGGCCCCAAAGCGUCAAGGAAUAAAGUGCAAUGAUAGUAUUAUCCUUGUCGAACACCCUUUCCAUGUAAUUCAGGCCAAUCAAUGUACAUCUAUUGCCUUUGAUUUUAUCCUUUUGAAUUUGAAAAGGAGUAUGUAGUAAACUGAAUUCUUUUAAGAAUUGUAUCCUUUUCAAUAAUUUCAACAUAAAUCCCCAAAAUCACAAAAAUGAAAUGUCAACAGAAAACCCAUUUAGAAAGGAAAAUUUACACUUGUACACACAUAAUAUUUAAACCACAAAAAUGCCCACCCCAAAUCAGCUGAAGAUCUCAGCGGUAAACGCUACCUUUUCGGGUCCAAAGCUCUAAAUUGUGUACCUUGGGUAGAGAGAGCUUCAGAAAACAACGUCGUCGGAGAACCAGCCUUUGAUGCGGCUGCGGCACAUGUGCUGGUGGUUCAAUUUCGCCUGAUUCACCAUACAAAAUAUUGCUAUAUUUUAACAUCUCACGUACAACAUGAAAAUCAUACACAAUAUUUUGUAUGAUUAACUAUAAUCAAUUGCUAUUUCUUAAUUUUGAAUCCAGUAACUCUACAACUUCAAUUAAAACUAAACUCUGAGAUCCAAAUAUCAUCAAAAUUCAUCAAAACCAAAAUUUUAAGCAAAUUAAACAAAAACCCAAAUCCUUAUUCAGCAAAAUCCCCUACAAAAUUUCCAAAAAUCGAAAACUUCAAGAAGAUUAAAGCAAAACUCACUAACGUUUGUAGCUACAUUCCUGAGAAGCACAACUAUAGUAUGCCUGGUGGAGUCAUCAGCUUUCACCAGCAACAGUCGCAAGUUCAUCGUCGGCAGUAGCUUCUCCCACCGCAUCGUCCCGACAGAAAAAUCGCACUUGCUGCCGUUCUUCUCCGGAGAAAACAGAGAGCUACAGUGUUUUAAUGAAGCUGGAGAGUGGAAAAUCUCUCAAUAUCUUCUUCUCAUCCUGAUAUUAGUCUUUGGAUCGAGAGACUUUCAAUAUCACCGUCAUACGAGGCAGUGACAAGGUACAGGUGGUGUGUUCUUCUUGUACAAAUAUAUAAAGGGUGUGGUAUCUACAUAUCUCUUUUUAUUUCUCACAUACCUUUUUGAUUUUCGACCGUCGAAUCGGAUGAAUUAAAGAAUAUCAACAUAUAGAAAUUAACAAGAGGUGUAUGAGAAGUAAAAAUGAGUGUAUGGAUAGCACACCCCUAUAUAAAUAGUAAGAUAUGAAUAUUAAAAAGUUAAUAACUUAAAAAUUAAAAUAUUUUACUACUUAUAUAAAAACAUGUGGUGAUGUAUCAUCUAUAUUACCGUCACAACUAAACAAAUUUCCCUUGAAUCUCAUCGGCGAUCCAAUUCCCACCAGCAAGUUUUACGCUUUACCGUUCAAACAACUUGUAACCCAACGGGCUCCAUCCACCUCAAUACUUAAUUUUGUUUACACUUGUACACACAUAAUAUUCAAGUGUAAAAGAGAAGAAUAUAUACAUGUGCUUACCUGGUUUAUGAACAAAGUGUUAUUUUGUUAAAUUGCAACAUUAAAUAGAUAGCCGUUACAUAUAUAUUUUGUACUAUGUCUAUGGGAUUGAUAAGUACAAACUAGAAAUAAUUCUUGUAUUAAAUGGAUAGUCAUGACAUAAUUCUUUUAUUUAAUACAUAAAUUGCAAGUACCAAAGCACACAGUAGAAGGGGAAAAACAUCACAUUAUAUAUUAGUACAAUCAAAAUUCAAGAUAAAAACCUUUUUAAACGAGCCACUUUCAAAGCAAUUGCUAGUGCUACUUUAUCUUUGAUGUCAUCGAAGAAUUGGAAAUAGGCAUACCUCCACGAUGUCUUUAAGAUCAAUGUGCCGCAGACGCCCCAAAAACCUAUGAUAAAGCCAAGUACCACGCUGACAUAAAACCACAACUUAUCAUUUCCUUCUUCAUUCUUGUCCUUUGCAUCCUUCGCAGUAGAAGUGUCAUCUUCAGGGCACUUUGUUGAGAGAGGAACACCACAUAGAAAUUGAUUGCCCAUAUAAAUGGACGAAAUAUUGAGCGUUUGAAGUUGGUUUCCAGAAGGAAUUCUUCCGGACAAGUUGUUAUAAGACAAGUCCAAGUGGGCCAAAAACGUUAAAGAUGACAAGCUUUGCGGAAUCUGUCCCGAGAGAUGGUUGUGUGAGAGAUCAAGAGUUUCGAGCUGACGCAAGUUUCCGACCUUGGAGGGGAUCUUUCCAGUCAAUUGAUUCAUGGACAAAUUCAAGGUGCCUAAUUGAAUGAGGUUGCUUAUUUCUUUAGGAAUUUCACCAUGUAAAUUAUUUGAUGAAAGAUCAAUGCUCUUUACAAGAUAUAGAGUCUUGUUGUACACAAGUUCUUCUCCUUUUAGUGUCAGUUUGGCAUGCUCAAAUAUUUUACGAGAACCCCCAAAGCUUAUAACAUUAAACGUUUCAAAAUCAUAUCCAUAACCAUAUCCAUAAUCAUAUCCAUAAUAAUCAUCAUUGACGAGAGAAGUUAAGUUAUCCAAACACAUUGGAAUAGUACCUGAAAGGCUAUUGUUACUAAGGUCAAGGAUGUGAAGGCCAUGAAGAUUGCACAGUUGUUGGGAAAUAUGGCCACUCAAAUAGUUAGACCGUAAUCGUAGCAUAGACAACUUGGAUACAUUUGACCCUCCAAUCCAUAGAGGUAUGUUCCCAGAUAACUUGUUGUCUCCAAGAUCAAUACUCCUCAAAUUUGAACACUUUUGCAAGGCAUCAGGAAUUUCACCGUCAAAAUUGUUGUCGUUGAGCUUUAAUAUUUCCAGGGAACGUAGUCCCCCCAAUGAAGUGGGAAUCGUACCAGAGAGAUUGUUUUGACCAACGUCUAGAAACUUCAUAUAGCUCUCCAUUGUCCAUGCAUAAGGGAGUUCUCCAGAAAAUUGAUUGCUCCUUAGAGACAUGAUUUGCAAGUUCUGGAUGUUAAAAAUAGAGGGAGGAAUGGUGCCAUUCAAAUGAUUCUCAUCAAGUAACAAUUCACCCAAAUAUGGCAUCUUUUGGUCAAUAUUUGAGUGGAUUGGACCGGAAAAGAAAUUGCUUUCUAGAUAAAGGGAACGGACAUUAGGGAAACACCAAAGUGGGAGUGGGCCCUCCAACUGAUUAUGACUCAAAUCAAUAAACCUUAAAUUUGGAAAUUUCAAAUGGGAUGGAAAGUUUCCACAAAAUUGGUUGUAAGACAAGUCUAGUCGGAUAAGUUGGGGAGAUAUCUUCAGCAACCAUUCCUCUGGUACGGAAUUCGAGAUUCCAUUACCACUAAGAAUAACAUAAGAUAGUUUAGUUUGAGUUUGAAACCAUACCCAAAAACUAGGUUUUAUCCCACAAUUUCUGAUCACAAUUUCAUGGAGCUUGAAAGGAGGAACCCAAUCAUUAGCCAUGUCGAAAAUGAGGGACGUGGGUCGGUCUAUGUUUCCUAUUUCAAAAUGUUGUAAUCUGGUAAGAUUUAUGAAAUGGGCUUCCGUUAGAAUGCCUUCCCAUGAAUUACCAUACAAACGUAGGGAAACUAGCUCGUAGAGUUGUCCAACACUUUCUGGAAUUGAGCCAUUCAUAUUAUUAUAAAUGAGGUCUAGUGUUCUCAAGGACGACAAAUUUCCGAUGGAAUCUGGAAUUGAGCCCCACAAAUUGUUUCCUCCAAGGUUGAGAUUCUGCAAACUUUGAAACAUUCCUAAAAAGGCCGGCAAUUGGCCUUCAAGCUCGCAAUUAGACAAAUCUAGUGACUCUAAUGUAUUACUUGGACAAUUUGAGAGACUCCUCCAAAACUCUUCAAUCCCCCCAUCAAAGUUGUU